UCUGGCGAUGAUGACACACUUGCCCUCACUGAGAACGCUGUUCAAUAAUGAGAACCUCACACCGUAUACUCAGAGGAGCUGAGCCAGA
rnacentral:snoRNA from 1 species